AGUGAACGCUGGCGGCAGGCCUAACACAUGCAAGUCGAACGGCAGCACAGUAAGAGCUUGCUCUUACGGGUGGCGAGAGGCGGACGGGUGAGGAAUACAUCGGAAUCUACUUUUUCGUGGGGGAUAACGUAGGGAAACUUACGCUAAUACCGCAUACGACGUACGGUGGAAGGCAUUGGAUCUUCGCACCUGGCGCGAUUGAAUGAGCCGAUGUCGGGUUAGCUAGUGGGCGGGGUAAAGGCCCACGUAGUCGACGAUAGGCAGCUGGUCUGAGAGGAUGGUCGGCCACACUAGAGCUGGGACACGGUCCAGGCUCCUACGAGAGGCACCAGUGGGGAAUGUUAGGCAGCAGGCGGGAGCCUUAUACAGUCGUACCGCGUCUGUGAAGAAGGCCUUCGGGUUGUAAUGCCCUUUUGUUGGGUGAAAAACGCAGCCGCUUGAUACGCCGCGGUAGUGACGGUACUGAAUGAAGAAGCACCGGCUAACUUCGUG
rnacentral:rRNA from 1 species